rnacentral:lncRNA from 1 species
AUCCUUUGACAUGGCUGUGGUGUCACUUUAGAAAUAUUUACUUUCAAGUGAAGCACUCUAACCUCAGGUGUGUGUUUUGCAUGCUUUCAGGCAAACAAUGCCUAUAUUUUCCCAGGAUUUGGCCUCGGGUUGGUUAUCUCUGGAGCUACCCGUGUGCAUGAUGACAUGCUCCUUGCAGCCUGUAAGUAACAGAGUUAAAAACAAUGCCUACAUUCUGCUUCUUGGAUGUGAUUAAGUGUUUUAUUUAUAAAAAAGAUUUCUAACAUAUGAUUAAGUUGAACAUAACAUAGUUAGAGCACUCUUUUUCCCUUGAGAAAAACUUGGAAUUUUGUCAAAAAAAACUUGGAAAUCUCAACUAAUAAAAGCAGCUCCAUAGAUUUUGGCUGAUAGUAUGCCACUAACUGUGCUUUAUGAUGUGUCUCCUUGAGAGACUAGGCAAAAAGAACGUACGCCCACAAGGAAAGCUCGUGCGAUUUGUUGGUUUGCUCUUUUUUAUAUUGACUGCGUCCUCACUUUCUCUUGGACAGCGGAAGCAUUGGCCCAACAGGUGACACAAGAGAACUUGGAUAAAGGAUUGAUCUAUCCACCCUUCUCAAAUAUUAGGAAGAUAUCUGCUCAUAUUGCCGCUAACGUCGCUGCUAAAGCAUAUGAACUUGGUGAGUUGCUUCUUCAGCAGCUAUUUGUGGCUACUUGUUUAGAUUUUGCGCAGCAAGUUAAUAGUGGUCGUGUGUGUUGUUGCCAUUUGUUAGGUCUGGCAAGUCGGCUCCCAUGUCCCAAGGACCUGGUGAAGUAUGCAGAGAGCUGCAUGUACAACCCUGUUUACCGCAGUUACAGAUGAAUGGGUCUCCAGUUUUGAAUGAAUACUAGUAGUAGUAAUUGUAGAUCUCAG